rnacentral:rRNA from 1 species
CCUACGGGAGGCUGCAGUGAGGAAUAUUGGUCAAUGGACGAGAGUCUGAACCAGCCAAGUAGCGUGAAGGAUGACUGCCCUAUGGGUUGUAAACUUCUUUUAUAUGGGAAUAAAAUGUUCCACGUGUGGGAUUUUGUAUGUACCAUAUGAAUAAGGAUCGGCUAACUCCGUGCCAGCAGCCGCGGUAAUACGGAGGAUCCGAGCGUUAUCCGGAUUUAUUGGGUUUAAAGGGAGCGUAGGUGGAUUGUUAAGUCAGUUGUGAAAGUUUGCGGCUCAACCGUAAAAUUGCAGUUGAAACUGGCAGUCUUGAGGACAGUAGAGGGGGGCGGAAUGCGUGGUGUAGCGGUGAAAUGCUUAGAUAUCACGAAGAACUCCGAUUGCGAAGGCAGUUCACUGGACUGCAACUGACACUGAGGCUCGAAAGUGUGGGUAUCAAACAGGAUUAGAUACCCCGGUAGUC